rnacentral:rRNA from 1 species
AUUGAACGCUGGCGGCAGGCCUAACACAUGCCAGUCGAGCGGAUGAAGGGAGCUUGCUCCUGGAUUCAGCGGCGGACGGGUGAGUAAUGCCUAGGAAUCUGCCUGGUAGUGGGGGAUAACGUCCGGAAACGGGCGCUAAUACCGCAUACGUCCUGAGGGAGAAAGUGGGGGAUCUUCGGACCUCACGCUAUCAGAUGAGCCUAGGUCGGAUUAGCUAGUUGGUGGGGUAAAGGCCUACCAAGGCGACGAUCCGUAACUGGUCUGAGGGGAUGAUCAGUCAAAAUGGAACUGAGACACGGUCCAGAAUCCUACGGGAAGCAGCAGUGGGGAAUAUUGGACAAUGGGCGAAAGCCUGAUCCAGCCAUGCCGCGUGUGUGAAGAAGGUCUUCGGAUUGUAAAGAACUUUAAGUUGGGAGGAAGGGCAGUAAGUUAAUACCUUGCUGUUUUGACGUUACCAACAGAAUAAGCACCGGCUAACUUCGUGC